rnacentral:rRNA from 1 species
GACAGGUGCUGCAUGGCUGUCGUCAGCUCGUGUCGUGAGAUGUUGGGUUAAGUCCCGCAACGAGCGCAACCCUCGCCUUUAGUUGCCAGCAUUCAGUUGGGCACUCUAGAGGGACUGCCGGUGUCAAACCGGAGGAAGGUGGGGAUGACGUCAAGUCCUCAUGGCCUUUAUGUCUAGGGCUACACACGUACUACAAUGGCCGGUACAAAGGGUUGCCAACCCGCGAGGGGGAGCCAAUCCCAUAAAGCCAGUCGUAGUCCGGAUCGUAGUCUGCAACUCGACUACGUGAAGUCGGAAUCGCUAGUAAUCGUGGAUCAGAAUGUCACGGUGAAUACGUUCCCGGGUCUU